rnacentral:rRNA from 1 species
AUGGCUUGCCUGGCUGCUCUCGGAAAUAGAUACCUGGCCGGAGGUGCACCCAUGGAGGAGCUCCAGGAGGCCGACGUGCUGUGGCCCGACACGCCGCCGCCGUCGCGGGACCGCCAGAGCCGCCUGCCGGAGCUGCUGGACGCGGCCGCUGUCGAGUUCUCGUGCGAGUCGUUCGGCAGCGACGACGACGGCCCCGCGGCGUCCUCGUCGAUGAGCUCGACGUCCUCGUCGACGAGCGUGCUGCCGUUUGGUGGUGGGUCCUCCGGUGGCUUCCUCUCCUACCCUUCCGCCUUCGCCGGCGGGCAUGGCGGCGGUGAUGACAUGGCGGAGGAGUUCCAGGAGGCGGACGUGCUGUGGCCGGACGACGGCUACGCGACGGGGGAGCGCGCCGGCGCCGACGGAGGGGAACUCUGGUGGCUUUGCUGCGGCUUCGGUGGUGACGCGGCCGGCUACCACCGCGCGGAGCCUGCAGCUGGAGGUCAACGUCAAGCGUGGAGACCUCCGGUGUCGUCUCCGAUUGAUAUCCCUACCGGAGUUGCCACCGCCGCCGCUCGCCGUUGGCGCGCGGGGACCUUGCUGGUGCACCGUCGAUCCAUAGGCACGGAUUAA